rnacentral:lncRNA from 1 species
CCCAUUCACGAAGACCAGGCUGAGCAGCCCUCUCUGGGCAUGGGAAGGAUCAGCUGAGGAGUGAGGAUGGCGGCGAUUACCCACAGCCUUAGCGUGACCUGCUCAUUUGCAGCACCAACCAAUGAAAGUCAACAGAAAAUGUGAAAAAUGGCAGUCCAUGCCAUGAAUACACGUCAUUUGAAAAAAGCGUCCGCGGGUGCCACUGGCACUCACACACACGCCCUCCACUUAAUGUCUCCACUUAAUACCAAG